UUAACUUUUAGUGUAAGAGCACAAAAAAUUUUGAUUUUUUUAGAAAUAAGUAACAUUAUUAAAGUUAAU
rnacentral:tRNA from 1 species